GACGAACGCUGGCGGCGUGCUUAACACAUGCAAGUCGAACGGAAAGGCCCUGCUUUUGUGGGGUGCUCGAGUGGCGAACGGGUGAGUAACACGUGAGUAACCUGCCCUUGACUUUGGGAUAACUUCAGGAAACUGGGGCUAAUACCGGAUAGGAGCUCCUGCUGCAUGGUGGGGGUUGGAAAGUUUCGGCGGUUGGGGAUGGACUCGCGGCUUAUCAGCUUGUUGGUGUGGUAGUGGCUUACCAAGGCUUUGACGGGUAGCCGGCCUGAGAGGGUGACCGGCCACAUGGGGACUGAGAGACGGCGCAGACUCCUACGGGAGGCAGCAGUGGGGAAUAUUGCACAAUGGGCGGAAGCCUGAGGCAGCAACGCCGCGUGCGGGAUGACGGCCUUCGGGUUGUAAACCGCUUUCGCCGGUGACGAAGCGUGAGUGACGGUAAUGGGUAAAGAAGCACCGGCUAACUACGUG
rnacentral:rRNA from 1 species